ACAUUUCUUUUUCCAUUAUUCAGGCUCCCUGAGGAGCUACCUCCCUUCUGGCUGCAUUGUUGUAAGCCUCCUUCAUGGCUUUUUUGGCAAACCUGGUCAGUUGGUAACAACAUCCAACUGCUUUCUUCAUAAGAAGACUAGAAAAGUAUAAUGAAAACUAUAUGGAGAAGGAUAAACUUAAAGAAAUGCAAAAUACUACUGUGAAAGUCUGGCUUCUUCAAAACCGGGAUGUGGUCUCUUGGGUCUGUCUUGGUGCUAUUCUGAAACUUGUACUUUGUGGUGCCCCCAGUACAUGGACAGUUUUUCCAGAUAUUUGGCUUUACCAGUAAACAAAUUCUGAUACCAAGGAUCUCAUGUCUAAUAGAAUUCAAGUUUUUCAGAUGCUUCAAAACCAUUAAGUAGUGAAGAAGUGUAUCCUGAAUGCAAUAAUUUCCCAAUGAAAACCACAUGUAUCAGACUGAAUGGAUGCAAGCUGAUCAAAAUACAAUGUUGUGUUUCCCAUAAUCAUGGCGGAUUAUUUGGUUAGUAUUGAAACUUAAACUUUAAUUUUCUUCCAUGACCAAAAGGAAAUUUCAGCCAAAUGUGGCAGAAACUCAGGAGGCUCUGCUUGCCACAGGUGUUUAAUCAUCAGGGAUGCUCUGGGGAAUAGCAUUGAUGACUGGCAGGCCACUG
rnacentral:lncRNA from 1 species